CUGUGGUAGUAAAUCCUGGUAAAUUAACGAUCAAGCAACAGUAACUUAAAUAAGUAAAUUCAAGAUUUCUUUCGAUACAAUUUCGAGAGAAAGUUAACUGCUAAAUACAUUCUAUACACGGCUAAAUCAACGGAAAACAGGUAAUUUCCCCCAAUCCGCCACCCCCCUUCCACCCCCAUGUUGCACCGAUUACGUACUAGAUUUUCCUUUCCUUGUUUCUCGUUUUUGACCUAGUACCAGGAUGUUCUUCCACAAAGUAGGUAACAUGUUGAAAAAUUGUAAAAAAGUGAAAUAUCUGUACUUUGAAAAUUGACAAUUGAAAAAUUAGUUCCGAUGUUGUAGCAUACUAGUACUACACUUGUAUUGAAUAAUUAUUUCUAUGAAGCUUGAUUUAAUAUUUUG
rnacentral:lncRNA from 1 species